GAUGAACGCUGGCGGCGUGCCUAAUACAUGCAAAUCGAGCGAACAGAUAAGGAGCUUGCUCCUUUGACGUUAGCGGCGGACGGGUGAGUAACACGUGGAUAACCUACCUAUAAGACUGGGAUAACUUCGGGAAACCGGAGCUAAUACCGGAUAACAUAUUGAACCGCAUGGUUCAAUAGUGAAAGGCGGCUUUGCUGUCACUUAUAGAUGGAUCCGCGCCGCAUUAGCUAGUUGGUAAGGUAACGGCUUACCAAGGCAACGAUACGUAGCCGACCUGAGAGGGUGAUCGGCCACACUGGAACUGAGACACGGUCCAGACUCCUACGGGAGGCAGCAGUAGGGAAUCUUCCGCAAUGGGCGAAAGCCUGACGGAGCAACGCCGCGUGAGUGAUGAAGGUCUUCGGAUCGUAAAACUCUGUUAUCAGGGAAGAACAAAUGUGUAAGUAACUGUGCACAUCUUGACGGUACCUGAUCAGAAAGCCACGGCUAACUACGUG
rnacentral:rRNA from 1 species